GGUGGGGGUGGGGGGGGGGUGCUCAUAAUCACUGCACACCUGCCAGGCCUGCCCCACUUCCGAGCAGACAGAAAGCCCCGGGACUCUUCAAACGGGUGCAGUGCCAAUGUGCUCAGACCCAGCAUCGCUGGGGAGACUCUGCAACCCUCCUUGCAGGCUCUGCAAAGCAAGUGCUUGCUGGGCCUCUCGGGAAGUUAAUUGUUCUGAUGACUACUUCACGAUGGAGGGAAAGUGGUUCCUUCAUCCUUUUGCCUCCCCAAAGUAUCAAACGGGUCAGAGGAGGCCAGAAAGAGGGCAGCAAUUCAGCAGCUCCAGAUGCUGGAAACAGGCCAGACCCUCGGAUAUGUGCCCCCAGAGAACUGAAGGCAGGGGUUGAAAUACAUGUGCACGGGCUCAUGUUCACAGCAGCACUGUUCACGCAACAACCAUUCCUCCAUUGACAGCCAAAAGUGAUGCCAUAUCGGGGCUGAAGUUAUGAAGAGAUGGAAGGAUUUUGCUGGAGACUGGACAUGACCAUGAGAAAACAACAACCACUGCAACAAACCCGGCCUGACUCACACC
ensembl:antisense Gm37982 predicted gene, 37982